rnacentral:piRNA from 1 species
AAUUGGAUCUGUCACCUGUCACCA